CCCUUAGAUGUUCUGGGCUGCACGCGCGCUACACUGACACACUCAGCGAGUCUCCCGGUCCGAGAGGAUUGGGUAAUCAUGUGAGCGUGUGUCGUGAUGGGGAUAGAAUAUUGUAAUUAUUACUCUUCAACGAGGAAUUCCUAGUAAGCGCGAGUCAGCAGCUCGCGCUGAUUACGUCCCUGCCCUUUGUACACACCGCCCGUCGCUCCUACCAAUGGGUGAUCCGGUGAAUGACUCGGACUCUGGAAUUAGCUAUUUAUAGCUUUUAUCCGGAGGAAGUUUUGUGAACCUUAUCACUUGGAGGAAGGAGAAGUCGUAACA
rnacentral:rRNA from 1 species